GUGAGGGACUGCAGGUGGCGCAGCCAGAGGGCACGGCCACCCGACUGCCUUUCCUUUCGAGCUACGGCGCCGCCGGAGAGCGAGUGAACUGGUUGCCACAGGCUGUUUGGCAAGAUAUUGAAAAUUACUCACACCAAUGAACAAGCAUAUUCCACUGUAUAAGUUAAAAGAAAAGACCAAGAUUGAUGAAAUAAUUUGAAACUGCCUGAAGAUAAAUAACUAGUACAAUUAUAAUGUCGGAAGCAGCGAAAAUUAACUAACUCACAGAAUUGACUUAAUAUUUCUUUGAAUUUGAAGAAUUAAAAAUAAAAUGAUAGUUUAA